rnacentral:rRNA from 1 species
GAUGAACGCUGGCGGCGUGCCUAAUACAUGCAAGCCGAGCGAACAGACGAGAGUGCUUGCACUCUCUGACGUUAGCGGCGGACGGGUGAGUAACACGUGGGUAACCUACCUAUAAGACUGGGAUAACUUCGGGAAACCGGAGCUAAUACCGGAUAAUAUUUAGCUUCGCAUGAAGCAAUAGUGAAAGACGGUUCUGCUGUCACUUAUAGAUGGACCCGCGGUGUAUUAGCUAGUUGGUGAGGUAACGGCUCACCAAGGCAACGAUACAUAGCCGACCUGAGAGGGUGAUCGGCCACACUGGGACUGAGACACGGCCCAGACUCCUACGGGAGGCAGCAGUAGGGAAUCUUCCGCAAUGGACGAAAGUCUGACGGAGCAAUGCCGCGUGAGUGAAGAAGGUUUUCGGAUCGUAAAACUCUGUUGUAAGGGAAGAACAAGUACGUUAGUAACUGAACGUACCUUGACGGUACCUUACCAGAAAGCCACGGCUAACUACGUG